rnacentral:rRNA from 1 species
GUGAAACUGCGAAUGGCUCAUUAAAUCAGUUAUGGUUCAUUGGAUCGAGUCCCCCGACAUGGAUAACUGUGGUAAUUCUAGAGCUAAUACAUGCGUCCAAGCGCCGACUUCCAGAAGGCGUGCUUUUAUUAGGAACAAGACCAGCCCGGCCUCGGCCGGCAACACUGGUGAACUCUGGAUAACACAGCCGAUCGCACGGUCUUUGCACCGGCGACGGAUCCUUCGAAUGUCUGCCCUAUCAACUUUCGAUGGUACGUUAUGCGCCUACCAUGGUCGUCACGGGUAACGGAGAAUCAGGGUUCGAUUCCGGAGAGGGAGCCUGAGAAACGGCUACCACAUCCAAGGAAGGCAGCAGGCGCGCAAAUUACCCACUCCCGACACGGGGAGGUAGUGACAAGAAAUAACAAUACAGGGCAUACAUGUCUUGUAAUUGGAAUGAGAACAAUUUAAAUAACUUAACGAGGAUCAAUUAGAGGGCAAGUCUGGUGCCAGCAGCCGCGGUAAUUCCAGCUCUAAUAGCGUAUAUUAAAGUUGUUGCAGUUAAAAAGCUCGUAGUCGGAUGUCGGGCUCGGGCAGGCUGUCGGCUUCGGUCGGACGGCAGGCUCGGGUCUUUCUGCCUGAGGAACCCGUGGCACUUAACUGUGCGGCGUGGGGACGCAGGCCGUUUACUUUGAAAAAAUUAGAGUGUUCAAAGCAGGCCUACGCUUGAAUACAUUAGCAUGGAAUAAUGGAAUAGGACUUUGGUGCUAUUUUGUUGGUUUAUGGGACCGAAGUAAUGAUUAACAGGGACAGUUGGGGCCGUUUAUAUUUCGUUGUCAGAGGUGAAAUUCUUGGAU